rnacentral:rRNA from 1 species
ACGUAGGGAGCAAGCGUUGUACGGAAUUAAUGGGCGUAAAGGGAGCGUAGGCGGGUAUUUAAGUCAGAUGUGAAAGCUCCGGGCUCAACUUGGAGAGUGCAUUUGAAACUGGAUAUCUUGAGGGCAGGAGAGGAAAGUGGAAUUCCUAGUGUAGCGGUGGAAUGCGUAGAUAUUAGGAGGAACACCAGUGGCGAAGGCGACUUUCUGGACUGUACCUGACGCUGAGGCGCGAAAGCAUUGGGAGCGAACAG